UACGUAGGGUGCAAGCGUUGUCCGGAAUUAUUGGGCGUAAAGAGCUCGUAGGCGGUUUGUUGCGUCGGCUGUGAAAUCCCGAGGCUCAACCUCGGGUCUGCAGUCGAUACGAGCAAACUAGAGUGUUGCAGGGGAGACUGGAAUUCCUGGUGUAGCGGUGAAAUGCGCAGAUAUCAGGAGGAACACCGGUGGCGAAGGCGGGGUCUC
rnacentral:rRNA from 1 species